rnacentral:rRNA from 1 species
UACGAAGGGUGCAAGCGUUACUCGGAAUUACUGGGCGUAAAGCGUGCGUAGGCGGUUCGUUAAGUCUGAUGUGAAAGCCCCGGGCUCAACCUGGGAGCGGCAUUGGAUACUGGCGGGCUAGAGUACGGUAGAGGGUGGUGGAAUUCCCGGUGUAGCAGUGAAAUGCGUAGAGAUCGGGAGGAACAUCCGUGGCGAAGGCGGCCACCUGGACCAGUACUGACGCUGAGGCACGAAAGCGUGGGGAGCAAACAGG